UACGGAGGGGGCUAGCGUUGUUCGGAAUUACUGGGCGUAAAGCGCACGUAGGCGGACUGGUCAGUCAGAGGUGAAAGCCCGAAGCUCAACUUCGGAACUGCCUUUGAUACUGCCAGUCUAGAGUCCGGAAGAGGUGAGUGGAAUUCCUAGUGUAGAGGUGAAAUUCGUAGAUAUUAGGAAGAACACCAGUGGCGAAGGCGGCUCACUGGUCCGGUACUGACGCUGAGGUGCGAAAGCGUGGGGAGCAAACAGG
rnacentral:rRNA from 1 species